CAAUAGCGUAUAUUAAAGUUGUUGCAGUUAAAAGCUCGUAGUUGGAUCUCGGGUCCAGGCUUGCGGUCCGCCUCGUGCGGUAGUCUGCUCGUCCUGGCCUACCUGCCGGUGUGUCCCUUGGUGCUCUUGAUUGAGUGUCUCGGGCGGCCGGAACGUUUACUUUGAAAAAUUAGAGUGUUCAAAGCAGGCGUGUCGCCUGAAUAAUGGUGCAUGGAAUGAUGGAAUAGGACCUUGGUUCUAUUUUGUUGGUUUUCGGAGCUCGAGGUAAUGAUUAAGAGGGACUGACGGGGGCAUUCGUAUUGCGGUGUUAGAGGUGAAAUUCUCAGACCAGCGGAAGACGAACCACUGCGAAAGCAUUUGCCAGGGAUGUUUUCACUGAUCAAGAACGAAAGUUAGGGGAUCGAAGAUGAUCAGAUACC
rnacentral:rRNA from 1 species